rnacentral:rRNA from 1 species
AUACGGAGGGUGCAAGCGUUAAUCGGAAUUACUGGGCGUAAAGCGCUCGUAGGCGGUUUGGUCAGUCGGAUGUGAAAGCCCCAGGCUCAACCUGGGAAUGGCAUUCGAUACUGCCUGACUAGAGUAUGGUAGAGGGAAGUGGAAUUUCCGGUGUAGCGGUGAAAUGCGUAGAUAUCGGGAGGAACACCAGUGGCGAAGGCGGCUUUCUGGACUGAAACUGACGCUGAGGUACGAAAGCGUGGGGAGCAAACAGGAUUAGAAACCCCGGUAGUCC